ACGGGAUUAGCUCAGUUUGGUUAGAGCGCUUGUCUUACAAACAAGAGGCCAUUAGGUUUACAAUGGUUCAAAUCCAUUAUCCCGUA
rnacentral:tRNA from 1 species